UACUAAUUUGUUACGUACUUCAUAACAUAAUAUUUAACAUCCAAAUAGUCCCACAUCUCAUAAUCACUACAACAGAAUUAGAUUAUAGCGACAUAUUUUUUUAAUAUUUUUACGUAACUAUUUCAUUUAUGCCAAAAUUUUUAAAAAAAUUCUACUAAGGCCUAAAUAUAAAGCCCAAUCCAAUCAAAAAUAAAAGGUUACUCAACCUUCUCCCCUCUCCUUCUCCCCUCACUCAAUCCACUGAAACCCUAGACGAAGAGCCCCUCGCUCUUCUCCUCAUCCGUGUCGCAGCCGACAAUAUAGGAUUCCGGCGGUUGCUAAAUGCUUAAAUAAGUAUUGAUAAAUUAGCAGUAUUCUUUUUAGGUUAUAUCGAUACUUUUAAACUAUCACUAUAUACCUAGCGAGCCCACAUAUAGCAAUAUUUUUUAAAAGUCACGGUAAUUCAGCCGGCAGUACUUUUUUUGACCUGUAUCAGCAUUUAAAUAUGUCGUUAUAUACCAUUUUUGUUGUAGUGAAUGUAGCUAGGAGAGCAUGAUAGUCUUAUAUAUGACUAAUGCAUUAGUACUAAUAAUCUGGGCUAGUGGCAAAAUCAAAUUAAAAACUAAAGGCUCAAUCUCAGCUGCUGAUCACUUUAUAAAAUUAAAUUAGAAUAAACUUUAUAAGGCUAGGGGGUCUCAAAUUAAGAACUCGAGAUCUUGCUCAAAUACUAUAUAAACGGGAAGCAAGAAGAAAGAAUGAAUCAAUCUAUUUUAUCUAUAAUCCAAUAUAAUAAUUAUGUUGAUAUUGAUAUUGAUUUCUAGGGACGAGACAUCCUGCAAAUUAUUUCUAGACUAAACUAAUUGUUCUCUAAAACCUUUAAAAACUUAAACUAGUAGAGAACUGUCGCUAGUGCAAGUGACAAAUAGUUUGGUGGUUGGUACCCGAGGUUCCAAGUUCGAAUCCUAAUUGAUUCACAUUUUCAGCUAAGUUUUUUUCUAAAAGAAAUAAAUGAAGCGGUUACCAUGCUACCAACAGAUAAAUAUGUGAAUAUUGAGAUAAAGAAACUAACUUGUCGUAUAUAGCAUAAGCUAAUUGUUCUUUAAUGGUGAUGCUUUAGCCAUUAACACGCGGCUGGGGAGAGGGAUGGGCACGGAUGAGUGCCGUUCUAAAACUUAAUUAGUUCAAAAUAUACAAACUUUGAUUGAUGUACUACAUAUAAAUAUAACACAAAUAUAGUUAUGGUCACACCUAAACUUUUGGCUAACAACAAAGGUGUGGAAAUAAAGCAAAAACCUUGGAGGUAAAUAUGAUUCCAAUACUUUUGCUUUAAAUUUUCAGAAGAAAAAUAAUAAUAUAUAUGAAAGAAGAAUACCCAGCUCUCCAUAUGUCAAAUAUAAAAAUUAAAAUAUAUUUUUUUUAGCAUCUUUUAUGGUUUUGGAGAAUAAUGGUUGUUUCAUAUAAUCUAAUAUCGUAUCAGAGUAGAAAAUUUUGAAUUUUUGGACAAAAGUGUUGAAUAUAAAUAUUGACAUAUGAGACUCAGAUGAUUAAUCGAUAUGACAAUGUGCACCGCAAUAGGAUAUCGUCCCUCCUAGUACAGAAAACAUGUUCAUUUUUUUCAAUGUUUGAUUUUUUUUUUUUUUUUUUUGGUUUAACUUUAAAACUCAUAGACCCUUUGUAGAUCUACUAACUUUGAAGCAAAUUAAUAACGAGUUUUAUUGAAUAAUGAGACCAACUUUCAGUUAAGAAUACAAAUUUAAAUAGAACACCUAUUCCUUAUUAUUAGUUUUGAUCUUGUGAAUUUGUCCAUAAACUAAGUAUUAACAUAACAUACUCUUAAUAAUGACUGUGCGUAGUUUUAUCUUCACACAUCUAUUUUAAUAAUAUAUCUAGAAUCACAUUCUUAGGUUAUUAAGAUGUAUAUGAUUCUAUUCUUACUAAACUUUAUGAAAUAUUAACACUUGGAUCACUUGUUCGAGUACCAGAGAUAUUAAAACACUCUAAAAGAGCUAUUUUUCUACUAAAAAAAAAGGGAUGAAAAGAAUUGUGCCAAUCUGUCCCAGUUGCAUGCCACUAGCAUGACGAAGCGUGCCGACAUUUGUACACGGUGUGUUAUUGUGUUGUGUCGUGCUGUGUCGAUAGGUCAUGUAUCACUGAUACGAUAAUUCUUGUUCUGUUUGAUAGUUAAAACUUUUGGAGAGACAAAUUAAUUCAUAAUUUCACUACUUUACAUCAUACAUAGUCAACUUUUACAAAAGAAAAACACCUCAAAUCAUCAGCACCCACUGAAGUUAACAAAGUGUUCACAACAGGAUUCUGCAAGAAAACUCAGCUAGUAAGCUAAACUAUCACAUUAACCCUUAAUUGAAACUGUUCUGAAUGCAGGAUAAUGCAAAUCAUUUCACAAAGUGUCAUGUUGAAAUUGUAAAAUCAUUUUGCGAAGUCGCAAGUCAUUGGAACACUUGAUUGGCCUAAAACUGAUACUAUUUGAAUUUUUCUCAGAAAAAGUUUGCAAGUGCUCUGUACAUGGACAAACAAUAACAACCUAAAAGAGUGUUUCGUUUCCUCUCCUGUAUCUUGAUUUAGAUGUUCUCAUGCCAAUCCAAUUGAAUGGGGCUUUUGCGGAACAAUAAUCCACUAUAUUUCAGAUUUUGCAGCAAUCCACCCUUUUUAUGUUUUUUGCACUAGAAAAAACAUCCAUUGGAAAUUUCAGCCAAGAGAAUUUUGGUCCUGUAAAAGGAUAGUUUGGCCCGAAGUUGCAAAAUCAAGGAACAAGUGGAUUUUUGUUUUGCAACAAGGCAGAUCCAGAUAUCUUAUACAUCAAAAGCUCAUUCACCUGCAUAUUAUAGUGAUUCGUGCGUGACUCAUCUAGGAAUUGGACAAUAAUUCAAAGCCGGUUCGCCUGUGGUAGAGGCUGGAGCAAGCAUCUUCCUCUCUACAGAUAAGAAGCGGUUGGACCCUCCUGUGCUUUCGAUGGAUCUCAUAUACUCCGAGGCAUUGUUCUCGAUUAUUAAGGCGUCCUCGAGCUCCCUGACGAUAUCCGACAUACUUGGACGGAAGGUCGCGAAGGGCUCUGUACAUGCCAAGGCAGCCUCUACCACUCUCCACAUUGAUUCUGAGUGGUAUUGACUCUUAAUGGUCGGAUCCACGAUUUCUUCGAUCCUUGACUCUCUUAUAAACGGUUUUGCCUAGACCAAAAAAUGUUCAAAGGUUAGUGAUGAUGAUCAUUAAAAGGUAGUAUUUCAUAUUUGAUAUUUUCUGUAAUUGUACAGUGAUUUUCUUCAACUCUAGUUUAUUAUGUAUGAGGUGAAAAUACGAUAUGAAUUACUGCUGGAUAAAAGUUGGACAUGACAUCAAGGUAUUUCCAUACAAUGCCGGAAUAAAUUAUCCAGUGAUAACCUAAGCGAUAUGUCUAAUUACUAAUUACAAGCUAGGAGUUUGGCUUUAAUUCCUUGAGAAGUCUCGGCAGCCAUGAUUUGAAAGUGUAACGUGUAUUUCACCGACGAGGUGAUCUAUCUUAUUAUGAGAAAAUGACUUGAAGACCAGACGUGGUAUGCCUUUCGAGACACUAGAUUACCCUGCUCAUCUAACGAAUACUACAAACUCCGUAAAUAUAUAAAGGAGAUAGGCCCAGUAAGAUGUUCAUGCAGACAAUAUACUCAGUAAGUAGAAAGAACUACGCCAAAACUAAGCUCAGCAAACAAAACUAGCUCUGUGUUUCAGAAUCUUAAAAUUUUGAUAGUAUACUCAGGAGUAGAAGGAUGUAAUCUGUUGAAAUCAUACCCAUUCAACUAAGCUCCACUCAUUUCGCGGCCUGUGAAUGUUGAGAGGCUCCCUUCCUGUUACAAUUUCUAAAAGAACGACACCAAAACUAAACACAUCACUUUUGGCUGAUAGCUGCUGGGUCGAAUAAUACCUGCAACAAGAGAAAAUUCUUCAGCAUGCAUUCCACUGUGAUGCUCAAGUUGUUCAGUAUAAAAAUUUUAAAUCAAUAUUUACAAUUUUAGGAAGCACUUGGUUGCGCAUUUCCGUAGAAACUCUUGAACUAAUGGAAUUAAAGAACAAAGAUGCCUUUAUCAGCAUAAAUCAGGAUGAAGUCAUGGCUGAUUUCAACGUGUUUUUGAAAUGACGAAAAGAAACGACAACAAAGCAUCAAUGUACGGGAAAAGUCAAUGAUUGCUUUUACAAACCCAUCUAACUAACUUUGUAGCCAAAUCCAGGCCUUAAUCUCUCCGUUCAUAUCUUCAUCCCUACUAUGAUUAGUAAGCCUCGAAUACCUACAUGAAAGACUAGUAGUUUGACCACAUGGUCCACAUCAUGGCUUAUUAAAAAGCCCAAGCUAUCAAGUAUGCGGAAAUCACCUUUGGGCAAGGGCAACCUAUUUUCAUCUCCAAGGUUAUAAUGCACUCACGAGGGCACAAGCAUGCAUAAAUAAAUAUACAUAGACGGGGUAACUAUAACCUGUUUGUUGGCUUAAAUGGGCCAGCAUCCUGCCCUGUGGCGGGAGGCCGGGUUGGGCCGAAUCACAUUCGAAAUGGUGUGAGGCUAGGUGGGCCAAGUCAUGUUCGAAGUGGCGUGAGGUUGGUUGGGCUGUGUCACAAUUGAAACUCGUAGGCGCUGUAUCUGUAUACUUUAAGUGAAUUGGUUGCAUAUUUCUAACAGCUCGAGCUUUUGGGAUUAAUGGUUAACGCCAAUGAUCCGACAAGUGCUAUUAAAGCCAGAGAUCACGGGUUCGAUUCCCGCAUGCUGCAAAUGUGUGCAGAUGCUAGAGGGCGGAUUGUUGGCUUAAAUGGGCCAGCAUCUUGCCCCGUGGCGUGAGGCUGGGUGGGCUCGAGCUUUUGGGAUUAAUGGUUAGCGCCAACGAUCCGACAAGUUAAUGUUAUUGUAAGUGUCGCAAAAUAAAUCAAAACAUAUAAAAUGGUAUUUAUCGCUAAGCACCAGAAGACUUUACUUUCGGUUAGUUAAUAAGCAGUCUUCUUCAUUAGCAUAAUUGAAGAGGUUUAAUCAGUAGUAAGUGCAAGGAAAAAUUCCACGACUGUUCAAAUUUCAAGUGAAACAUGAGUAAACUUACUCAGGGUCCAGGUAUCCCGCAGUUCCUCUCACUUCCAGGGAUGCUCCGCUGUCCCCUUCUUGAGGCGCAUAUUUUGAAAAACCGAAGUCGGUCACUUUGCCGAUCAUGCUAUGAUCUAGAAGAAUGUUGCUAGAUUUGACAUCCCUGUGGAUGAUGCAGCGCCCAGCAAAAUUGUGAAGGUACAUCAAACCUGAAUCAUUUCAUAUAAUGGAGUUGUCACCUUUUGCAUUAUCUCGAUUUCUAACACAGCAGAUGAUAUACGUAAUGCGCCAAAAAUGAACAAUUUAAAGAUAGUGAAAUUCAGCAUUUACAAAUGCAAACUGGCAUAGGACAUCGUGCCUACAAAUGCGAACUCAGAAAGGAAACACUAUUCUUGGGGCUUAGGGUACUAGGACAUGCUAAACAACGCACUUAGUUUCCAGGCCAAAUAGAAUUUCAUAUGAAUCCUAGCCAGUAUGGCAAGCUCCACUUGAAUGCAUUCACCCAAAGCACUGCACUAGCUGCAUUCCUGAUCACAAGCAAAAAAUAUAUCCACAAGGAGGCGGAACUCACCUUUAGCAGCACCAAGUGCAAUAGACAGUCUAGUAGGCCAAUCAAGCACUUUCCUUUUUGCUGCUUCACCUUUACAUAAAAAUUAUUGCAUUCAACGAAGAGGAAGUAAAUGAAAAGGCCAGCUAAAUCAGAUAAUAUGUUAAACUAAGAUGAGUACCAUAAAGACGAUCUUGUAGCGAACCAUUGGACAUGAAUGGAUAGACCAAGAUUUGCUGAUCAUUCUCACAGCAAUAGCCAAGAAGUGGGACCAAGUUGUCAUGCUGAAUGGUUGAGAGAAUCCUUAACUGUAAAAAUAUUGAAUGCGCUAGUUAGAAGAGCUUAAUUUGAUUCAGCAAUACAGAAUAGUCGGGAGUCGCUUGAUGUGGUGUUCCUUGUCUAAGGGUGCCACAUUGAAAACUUACACCAAAGGAAUUAGUUUCCGAUAAGAUUGCAAAAUCUUACAGAGUCCUCAAAGAAUCUAUUAAAGUUUAGCUCGUUAUGAAUCACUGCGUAGUUUGUUCAAAUGGUUUACCAUGGAAGGAUAUAGACUUACACAAAAGAAACAUGAAACCCAAUGCAUAAUUUGCUUCGAGUUAAAGAAAAUUUUGGUCAUAUUUUUACCUCAUUGUUGAACUCGCGUGUUCCCUGAGUUGAUGAGGACGAUCGAACUUUGACAGCCACUUCUUGACCAUGUGGCAGAACACCUUUGUAGACAACUCCGAAUCCACCCUCCCCUAUCAAGGUUUUGUAGUUUUCUGUGGCAUUUUGGAUGUACUGAAGUGGAAACUGCUGUACCACAGGGUUGGUAGGAUCGUGAAUGCUCUCUGAAAAUACUGGAUCUACAUAUAACAAGGCGAUUCAUAUUUAAUAAGAUGGAUUACAGCAAUAAAGAAACACACACUUAUUCACCUAGGAGCUUGAACUCGAACAUUGCAGUUUGUAUGAAACUCAAUGGCCUUCUUAAGGAUUUAAAUAUAUUAUUUUAACUCUUCAACAGGAAAUAAAUUGAUUAUCAUUUCAUAUUACUGAGCAAAAAAGAUAUUUCUCUUUACUUCAAUGUAUCAAAUUUUGCCUUAAAUGAUUGUUGCCUUAAUAGGAGGUAUUAUAAGAAACAUAUGAAGAAGAUUGCCCAGUGUUAUUAAAUGCAGAUAAACAAAAGCGGAUGAGUAUUUCACGGGCGUACUCUUUAUAGCUGGGUGGCCUCUUUCAGCAGGGGGGCGAACACGUCUGUAGAAACAAGUUAAAAACAUCCCAAGAGCAAAUGUACAGGCAAGAGAUCCUCCAGCAAUGCUUCCUACUGUGUAAUUAUUUCGUUGAGGAGGUGUCUGUUCUUGAUCAUAACAAUUUCUUGAACUGAAUUGAAUAAUAGUCACAAGAAAUAUGAGACACAUAUACAAUAAAUAUAAUGCCAAACUUCGUAAACCUGUACUGUUGUCAUACUUUAACGUAAAAUUCAUCCUUUUUGAUAACCCUGUAGGAAGUUGAUCGCUCAAUGAUGGAUUGCAAUUGAUUGACCUAAAGCAGAAAUAGAAUUUAUUAGCCAAAAUUUGAGUUGGAAAGCAGUCUUUUCAGCAAUGUGGACUGCCAAAGUUGAAUUUGGUGGAAAAUUUUCCAAAAAAAAAAAGGACUUAACAAAUUUGAUAAUUUCCUGAGCAACUCAAAAGAUUCUGGAAUGGAUCCUGUGAAGUUAUUAUUAUCCAGAUUCCUGACAAAGAAGGAAACUCAGAAUUCAUAGGAAAUUCAAAGAAAAGGAUGAUUUUCAUCGACGAGAAUCGUUUACUACGAGAGCUAGCUCACAUACAGCUCAAUUAAGUCUGUUAGGUAACCUAUGGCUGUAGGAAUUGGCCCUUGCAAGCUCUUUGAUGAGAGAUCCCUGCCACAAAUAGUACGAACAGUUGUCGCACGAUAUCAAAUCGUUAGAAUGAAACUAUGGGAUAGAGUUAAAACAGCAUAAAAGUAGUGAAGGACCAAAAUUAUAAUGUAAAAAGCCGACCAAAAGAAUGAGUCGACUUUACGGAGAAGAAGGUACUUACAGCUUGAAAAUGACAAAGGUGCCAUUCUGUGGUAGGCAGUAGAAGCCUUCCCAGGGAGGAGACAAGCAGGGGUCCCCAUUCCACUUCUCCAACAUAUUGUUUCCUGGGUUUCUCUCCAGCAACUGAUACCUUACCUCCUUCGCUACAUCCACUGUUUGAAAUGAUAUUUUGCAUAUCAAACUUUUUCUAGCUAGAAAAAAGUAAUAAUAAUAUGAAGCCAAACUCAAAAAGUAUUUUAUGUUUCAAUUUUUUGGCAUCCUCAAGUUCUUCAAUAACAACUCAUUACAGUGCAUUACUAUGAGUAAAUUGGAAUGAGCCAAUGACAAAUCCAUUGCAUGUGUAGAAAUUAGAAAUCGUUCGGUCGAAAGUUAAUCAUGCAAUGCAGUCUCACUACCUUAGUUCUGAACUUGAGAAAGUGUCUGCUAAAAGGAUCUUCAGACAUUUUCUGGUACACUACAUUUUACCGCCUGUUUGAAUGCUACAUAGCUGUUAUCAUGUGAUAACUGAUGCAGGAAAAAGUUUUGGAUAUACGAUCGGUACGUACUAAGGUCAAGGAAAAUAUUAUCCUUUUUCCUUUAACGAUUAACAUAAACUGCCUUUAAGAAGGAAAUCACGUGAAUGUGGGUCAUAAAUGAAUCAUAAUUUCUUUAAGUCAACUUAUGCUAAUCAUUAAAAGAAAAAGGCAAUGUUAUUCUAAUCAUUAGAUGAAUUCAGGCCUUGAAUUCUUUAAGGAACAUAGCACUAGUUUUACUCUAUGAUCUGAAGUUUCUAACUAGAGAUAUUAUUAAAAUAGUAUCAAAUAUUUGGAAGGAUAUUCUUUCUCUCUCCUUUUCGAUCAAAGUACAUCUAACUACCUGUUACUUAUGAGACAGGUGACACUUUGUUCUCAAACUUUAAUUUGUUACAAUUUUUGGCUCAAACUUUCAAAAUUAGUUGCAAUUAAAUCUUAUAACCCAAUUGAAUUGACUAAAUAUUGAUAUAUUGCUAAUCUAGAAGUGAUGCGGCAGUGUUGCGAUUGAUGAUGCGCCAAUAAUUAAGACGCUUGUGUCAAUGUUUAGUCAACUAAAUUGGGUUGAGGGACUUGAUUGUAACAUUUCUGAAAGUUUGAACUGUAAAUUACAACAAAUUAAAGUUUGAGGACCAAGCGUCCAAUUUUUACCCUUCUAAGAAUCUUCCUUGUGUCAGUUCCCCUCAAUUUCAUCAACAACUAAUAUCUUUAUAUCAUGAAUUCCGCGAACGCAUGAUCACAAAACAACAAUCAAACCCUAUCGUCAAAAAGAUCGAUCUAAUAGAAAAUAGAAAACAGUUCAAUUCAUUUCGUUUAUUACGACCUGAUGAUCUGAUAUCAUGUUAAUCAAAAGAUUGAAAAGACAGAAAAAGAAAUAAUGAUCUUAAAAAUUACUUUGGCCCCCAUAUGCUGUUAUUGGAAGGAGCAUCAGGAGCAGGAGGAGGAGGAACAGAGCCAUCCAAUUCACGGUUCCGCCAUCGCGAAUUCGGAUUUGGGACCGUCAGAUCGAGGCUGGGAGGGGAGGGGGUAUGAUGGCAGUCUGCCUUCUCCUUCUUCUUCUUCUUCUUCUUCUUCAGUCUGGAGGGGAGAGCUGACGUCGCCGUUCUUGUCUGCUUGUUGGGGGUGUUUGUAAUAGGAGGUGGGAACUGCCGCCAACGGCAAAAUUCCAUUCUUUUAUUACUGGGAUGGUCAGCAACUCUUUACAGAAAUAAAAUAAAAUUACAAAUAAACAAAAAUAAAAUAAAAUAAAGGGACCCAGUCUUGACUGUUUCCUAGUGAGGGAUGGGAGAAAUUGUUGCGCAGAGACUGAACAGCCGGUUGAUUUGGACGUGAUUAAAAUGAUCAUGUAAAAUACUGUCAGUACAUUUAGGGCAUAUUUGGUUCAUGAUUGGAAUAUGAAUGAGAAGUUGAAUUGGAUUGCUUCGGAAUAAAAAAUGGAAUGACGAAUCAUCUAAAAAUGUUUAGUUCAUUAUCAGAAUGAAAAUCGGAAUGAAAAUUUAAAAAUUUUUGAGAGAGGGUUUUGAUUAAGAGAGAGGAAAGUGAUGAAGGGAGAGGAGGUAGGUGUUGAUGAAAGAGGAUUUUGAAUAGUUUACUUUGGAAUGAGCCAAUCUGGAAUUCAAAGCCGGAUUGGAUUAUAAAUGAAUUUGACUAUUCCCAUUCCGGAGUGAAGUGGAAAUCGGAAUCUGAUUCUUAUAAAACAAACGGCAACUAUCGGAAUCAAUGAAUUCCAUUCCGAUUCCAUAGUCUAAAAUAGGUGAACCAAACACGUCCUCAAUGUAGAAGGAGGAAGGCUAUUGUGCAGCAGCUGCACCACAUGAUGAUGACCGAUUAGUUAUUUAUUUUUUUAAAAAAAUAUAAUAAAAAUAUAUAUAUUUUUUUAAUUGUGAGAUGGUUGAAUUUUAUGGAAGGAAUUUGAUUGAUUGGAAACAUCAUAUCAGCAAUAUGACUGUUAUAUUCUAGACUUUUUCAUAUAAAAGUGUAUAUUUUAUGUCUUUAAUUUUAAUUUUUUUUAUAAGACAAAAAACCAAUUGUAAGCCAUAAGAAACCUACAUUAAAUUUUAUACCUUUAUUAUAAUAGGUGUACAUAUAGUAUUUUGAGUCUGGCUACUAUACUAUCGGUAGCACGAGACUUUCGUAUUAUCAAGUUUUUUUUUGAUGAUGGGCAUCCGAACUAACAAUCAGCUUUGUUAUACUUAAUCUACACUAUUAAAAGUAUUUGAAAAUCAAAUUUCAUAAUUUUGCAACAUCAUUUACAUAUCAAAUUGAGUAAUCCAAAAAUGAACAGCUGAAAAUAAAAAUCUAAUAAAACAGAAUGAUAAAAGACUUGAAUUUAAGAUAAGAGAUACUGGACUUAUUCUAAAUAGUGAAGAGAAUUUUCAAUAAAAAUUUUAUCGGAUUUGAAUUAUUUUACACCAUUAAAUUCAUGAAUACAUCACCUAUUAAAAUUAUUAAUUUUAAAACUUUUUGAUCACUAGUCAAAUAAUAUUUAAAAAAAAAUUCGGUUUCUAAAUAUUUUCAAAAACGUAGAACAUAUCUAACAGAGCCGAUCAUCAAUUUGGAAGCUGUAUCAUCGAAAACAACUUAGUAGCAUGGAGACUAUCGUGCUACCGAUAGUAUAAUAGCCGGACUCUAGUAUUUCUCCAUGAUUAAAUCGGGUCCAACCCGGUUUGCUCGACUCGAUUUUUACAGUUUAGAUUAGGCCUAGACUUCCCACAAUUUAUUGGAUCGGAUCGGAUCUCAAAUUUUGAGUCCCAGAAAAUUUAAGCUGGGCCACCAUUAUUCAUUUCUUUCGUUGAUAUUGAAUGGUUCGGAAUUUUUUUUUUGACUUGCUGAUUUGGUCUAGUUUGGGUCAUAUCGAAUCUAAACAGUAUUAAAAUUUUUCAAUAAUACUGUAGAAAUUACAUAAACAGUAUUAAAAUUUUUUAAUUAAACAUUUAAGGUACUCAAAAUGCUUUCGGAUGAUCGUUACAUAAAACAAUCUCGCCUCACCCUUUUUUUUUUUUUUUUUUUUUUUUUUUUUUUUUUUUUUUUUUUUUUUUUCGCUAAUCUUGAUUCAACAACUUGCAUAAGAAUUGUUAUAAGCCAAAUUCUAAAACAAAAAAUGCAUAUACUAAAAAGCCACUUGCAUACAUUUAAAAUUUGGUUCCGCAUAAUAUACUUUUGAGUUUCUGAGUAUUUAUUAUUUUUUCAAAAAAAAAGGAGAAGAGAAGAAAAUGAUCAACUGCAAAUUUUUUCAGGAAUCUAAAUAUGAUCUGAACUUGCAAAAAUUAUAUGAAGGACCUAAAUUUUAAAUUAAAAAAAAGUAACUGGAUUAAUUUUUCAUGCAAAAGCCUAUUAAUAUUAGGGUAAACUUCAAAUAUCACUUCAAUAAUUUCACACUUUCUCAUUUUAGUAUCCUGUGAUUUAAAGUGUAUCAAUUUAGUGUCAUGUGGUUUCACACUUUCUCAUUUUAGUAUCCUGUGAUUUAAAGUGUAUCAAUUUAGUGUCAUGUGGUUUCUUUUUUUUUUUUUUUUUUUUUAUUCGUCAGCUCCUUCGUUAACUUUUCGUUAAAUCAUAUAUAAAAAUCUUUAGAUACCCACCUAUAGUUUAUCGAAUAUUCACUUUAAUACUUUUAAAUUUUAACUUUGUCGCUAAUUUAACGAAAAAAAUUAAUGGAGAAGAUAACAAAAAGAGAAAAAUAAAACCACAGGGUACGAAAGUGAUACAUUUUAAAACACAUGAUACUAAAGUGAGAGAGUGCGAAACCUGAGGAUUGGUAUUUAAAUUUUUCCUUAAUAUUAUACUUCAAUUAUCUUUAUUAUUAAAAAUUUUUUUCUCUUUCUCCAAGAAUUAGGGGCUUGAAGGCUCCACUAACAAAAGCUUAAGUUUGGGCUUGUAUCACCAUUUUAACAACAUCUACAUCUAAAUAUAGUCUUUGGAUCAGGGACGAAGCCAGAAAUAAAGAUUCGGAGGGAUCAAGAUUUAGAUUUGAUAGGAAAAAAAUUUGAUCUCGAAUAAUAAGAAAAAAGUUUAUCGGAUUCACUAAUUAGUUAUUACUAGCAAUAAUUAUGAUAAUAUGCUUAUAGAGGAACAAAACUGUAAUAGUAAAAUUUUAAAAAAAAAUUUGAGACACAGAUUUUAUUAAAAAAAUUAAUUUGGCCCCCUAAAAUUAAAAUUUAUAAUAUUUUAAUUUUUAUUACAAAGGACUUUUAUGUAAAUUUUAAAAAGUUAGGGGGGCCAUGGCCACUGUGGGCCCCUCAAUGGCUCCGCCCCUGCUUUGGAUUGAUAUAUUUAAAUCUAACUAUUAAGAUUGUAACUGCAUGAGGAUUUUUAAUUAUUGCAGUUAGAAUUAUAUCCAAAUUAGUUACGGUUCCAACUGUUAUCACCCCAUUUAAAUAAAAAACAUAAAAAACUUCUUCAAGCUACCAAAAAAAAAAAAGUAUAGUCGUACCAUUUAUAACCACACAAAACUCAACAAAACAGAUAGAAUUAUAAUUACUGUUCUUUUUGGUGUAUCAAGGUGAGGUCAUGUUUCGAGUCUAUUGUACUAUUAAGCAUCGAGGUUACAUAUUAUUGAACUCUGUUCUAGAAUCACUAGUGUCAAGUUCUAGAGAAUCUUAGUCAUGUCCCACAACAUGCAUCGAAUUACGUUCCGCAGAACCCGAAAGCUGUUUGAGAUAGAUCUGUUAAGUUAUGUCCCUGACCCUUUGUAUUAGGUUUUAGAAUUUUGGUCGUCUUCCAAAGCCAACAACUUAGAUUCCAGGGGUUGAACCUGAUCUGAUCUGGUACGUUGAGUUCUAUAACCAGCAAUUUAGGUUUGGACCCAGGGGUUGUCGCAAUGAACAAGUUAAGUUAAAUUCAACUCCGAAAUAAUCUAAUCUUGUGGUUUACAAUUUCGGUUGGACAAAUAAUAUCUUGUUGAGAACUUUUAAGUGGAGAUCCAUAGCUAAAACUGAAUAAAAAACUUCAGAUGAGCGGUGGUAAUCAUUUCUCCUUUAUUUGGAGGUUUCAGGGUUUAAAAUUUUAUAUUCUCUGUUCUAAAGCUUAGAUCUUUAUUGUGAAAAACCCUUACUGAGAGAAAAAAUAUAGGAGAAUUCUAAAAGAGAGUUUCUUAUAUAUAUCUAAACUCUAUUCCCUGUACUGAUUGUGCUGUAGAUUAAUUAAAGAACAGAUUAAAAAAAAUCUUCUCUGUGGACGUAGAUCGGCACAUCGUUAACCAAACUACAUUAUGUCUUGUAUACUUUGUUUAUUGUAUUGCUUUCCAUCCUUGUGCUUAUUUUCUCGAUCGAUCUCAUCAAAGAUUCAGUUUCUGUAUAGUUUUAUUAUGCCGAGAGGGUUUAGAGGUGUACUUGAAUCACUCCAACCCCAUUUUUCUUUCAAUAAUUACUAUUAAAUUCAAAUGAAACAACCCUUUGUUGUUUCUAGGUUCCAACUAGUAUAUUCGUUCCCAUCCAAGGACGCGGAAAUUGCGACAAAUUCAACCCAUCUCAAGAGUAAAGUCACCAUCUUAAACAAGUUUAAAAAAAAAAAAAAAAAAAAUCCUCUUUCUUUAACAUUCCCAAGUUAUUAGCGUUGGGGCCAAUUGUGUUUCCCUUUUUGUCUUGAUUAGAACUAAUUAAUACAAAAUCUAGUCUACGUAGUGUGUACAAAAAUAAUCUUUUUUAAUCAUCCAAUCAUGCACACAAGUGCUCUAUUUUGGAGAUUACAAACAAGAUGCUCUCCUAAAAUAAUCUUAAGAUGAUGCCAAUUAAUUAUCAACUUAUUUUAAAGAAAAAACUUGGUAAAAAACGCAUGAACACCCCUCAACAAUAGGCCGUUCUCAAAUGGCCUCCUCUAAGUUUGAAUUUUUUGAUUGAGACCUCUUAGCUUUCAUUCUUUUGGAACUAAGCAUAUUUAGUCCGAAAAAAAAAAGCAAGAGAAUAUAUGGACAAAUUCAAUCAAAUUUAACGAUUUUAAUAACUUCUUAAUGAAUAAAAUUAAAAUAAUUAAUGACUAAUGGCUAAUGGAACUACAACUUUUAACAAAUCUCUAACUAACUAAAAAUCUAGAAUAAUUUAAUUCCAAAAAUUCAAAAGUUAAAUUUAAAAAUCACACAUUUUAUCAAAUUCGAUAACGUUAAUAUUUAUCCUCAAGUAAACUAUGAAAGAAAUUUAACUAAAAUAAGUAGAAUAAGUUCAGUGGGCUCUCGAUUAAAAAAAUAAAAUUAAGGGGGUCAUUUCAAAAUUGGCAAUAGUAGAGGGGGGUCUCUCCAUACAUUUUUUCACCUAAAACCUUUAUCCAUCUGUCUAAUUAUUUAAUAAUGUAGCAAGACAAUCGAUCGCCUUCAAUCCCUUUGUUUCUUCGGCCUCCCAAAUGCUACGGGACGCGUAAAACUCCAACAAUAUUUGUGACACAAAAUAAUUAUCAUUUAAGAAAAAUAUUAAUGUAAUAAUGUAAUAACAAUAUAUAAAAUUACUGAUGCUAAUAAUAAAGUCUAGCAAAACGACAAACAGGCGGCUGCCAACUGACGCUAACGGCGUCCUCAACAAGACGUUAUUGUCUGCACCCGGUGCAUCAAAGCGCACAGUGCACCAUAGCUCGGCCAGAGGGGAAAAGUCUUAAAAUAUAGCAGUUAUAUGGCGACUUGUUGGGGUGUCAACCAGCCGAACACGAGUGAACUGGGACCGACUUGUUAAAGUAUCGGGUCGAAAAAUUCAGCUCAUGUUCGACUCGUUAAUAAAUAAGCCGAACACGAGUAGGCUCACGAGCUGAUUAACGAGUAAUAUAUUAAAUAUAUUAGAUUGAAUAUAUAUAAAAAAUAAAUUUAUAAAAUUUUACCUAUUAGACUUUGAUCUAAUGAUUGAAACUUUACAUAUAAAUAAAUUUUUUUAUAAUUAAAUAUAUAUAUAUAUAUAUAUAUAUAUAUAAUUAUUUAUUUAUAUAUAUGAAUAUAAGUUAAAUAAAUUAUAUAAAUAUAAAAUAUAUGUAUUCCAGCUAUUAUCGAGCUAACAGGAGCGAGUUGACCCUACCUCAUGUUCGGCUCGUUUAUUAAACGAGCUAAAAAUUUCGUGCUUGGAUCGUUUACUAAACGAGCAAUUUGAUCUCGAGCUCAUUUCAAGCCGAACGCGAGACGGCUCACGAAUAGUGAGCUAAAUUGCCAUCCCUAGUCAUGUGGUGUCUCCAAUUGAUCAUAUUUAUCUUAUUCAUAACUAUUAAAAAAACUACUAUAGACAUCGAUAAUAUAGUAGAGCUAUUAUAGAGUAGACUUUCUCAUCACUAGGCCGGUUUGUUAUUGAAGGUCAUCAAAUCUAAUAUUAUUAGGCAAAGCGAAAUUAAAACAAAAGCAUAUAAAAAUAUACUCAGAUUUUCUAUAGAAUUACAAAAAAUAUAUUCUAUCCGAGUUUUAAAGUUCACCACCACCACCCAAAAUCCUUGAGAGCCUAAAAGUUUGAUAAACAAACUGAAAUUCAUGAAUCAAAAAGUUAAGUCGGUACUGUUCAUCUUUUUAUCAUUCUUUUUAUAUAAAUAUAUGCAAAUAUAUUUAUAUAAUUAUAUGCAAAUAUGUAAAUAUAAUUUAUUUACAUUUAAAUAAAUUAUAUAAAUAUAAAAUAUAUGUAUUCGAGCUGUUAUCGAGCCGAACACGAACGAGCUGACCCCAACUAGUGUUUAGCUCGUUUAUUAAACGAGCUUAAAAUUUCAGCUCGUGCUCGGCUCGUUUACUAAACAAGCGAUUCGAUCUCAAGCUUAUUUCAAGCUGAACACAAAUUGGCUUGCGAACAACAAACUGGAUUGCCAUUCCUUAUUACGUAGUGUCUCCAACUGAUCAUAUCUGUCCUAUUCAUAAUUGUUAAAAAAAAAUUACUAUUGACAUCGAUAAUGUAGCGGAGCUGUUAUAGAGUAGACUUUCUCGUCAGGAGGAUUGUUUGUUAUUGAAUGUCAUCAAAUCUAACAUUAUUAGGCAAAACAAAAUUAAAACAGAAGCAUAUAAAAAUAUACUUAAAUUUUUUAUAGAAUUAUAAAAAAUAUAUUCUAUCGAAGUUUUAAACUUCACCACCAUCCUCCAAAAUCCUUGAUGAGAGCCUAAAAUUUUGAUAAACAAACUGAAAUUCGUGAAUCGAAAAGCUUAAGGUUUUUAACUCGAUGCUGUUACUAUUUUUAUCAUUCUUUUUGUUAUAAAUUUUAUGUAAUUAGAAAUGUCCGUAGAUAAAUUUUUUUAUUCACAUUGUGCUCGCCUAACUUGCAAUGUAUGAGGGCGACAAUUUUCUUACAAAAAAAUAAGAAAAAAAAGCUUUAAGUCUUUCAAGUUUAUAUUUUUUUAUUAUCAAAUAAAUAUUUUGAAUGUAAAAAUUAAAAGUAAUUCACCAACCACUUCUACAUAUUAAAAAAAAUGAAAACAUAAUAAUAAUAUGAAACAAGAUCAGAACGAGUAGAUUUUGGGCCCAACAGCUUAUAACAACAAUUUAUUUCUCUUAUUAUUAUUAUUAUUAUUAUUAUUAUUUCAUGGAGGGUCGUUCACUCCUAAUACACGGUAUUUAUGGAUGCACCGAGUGCAGGCACAUUUUUCAUCUCUGAUGUACUAUCACAUAGCCAGCGACCCACCCCUAUCUUCUUGUUCUUCACCUCCCUCCCCAAUCAGUGAGUGUACUUCCUGCUUCCCUUCUCCUCCUCCUCCUCUAAUUUUCCAUUUUCUUUGUUUUUUUUUCACUCACUGUUUUUCCCCAAAAUAAUCAAAAUCCAAAACCUCAAUACUUCCCUUGUGCCAAAUAAUGCUCCAAAGCCUUCUCCCUCGAUCUCCCAUCACUAAUGCUGCCAGCUCCGACGCGCCGCCGAUGAGUCGACCGAAGCGCUCCGCCGACGCCCGCGACCUCACACCCUCCUCCUCCUCCCCAGCAGCCGCCGCCGCCGCCUGCGACGAUGACGACGAUCGCCUACGGAAGAGAAAACAACUACAAUUAUAUCCGCAACCGGAACCGCAGCCGCCGCAGCAGCAGCAGCAGCAGCAUGUUGUCGACGUGAUUCAAGAACGUAAGAAUGAUAACACCUAUUUUUCCGCCGGUAGUAGCAGUAGUAGUAGUGCAGUGGAGUCGCGGGUGCUCCGCCUGCUGGGGCUGCUGCUCCACUGCGCCGAAGCCGUGGCUGCCGACCGGCUAUCGGAGGCACGCGACAUCCUCCCGGAGAUCAACGAGCUCGCGUCCCCCUUCGGUUCCUCUCCGGAGCGCGUCGCCGCGUACUUCGCCGACGCGCUCGGCGCCCGCAUCCUCAGCUCCUACCUCGGCGUCUACUCCCCGCUAAUCCACCACCACAAACCCCUCGUCACUUCCCACCACAACCGCAUCUUCAACGCGUUCCAGGUGUAUAAUUCGAUCUCCCCGCUGGUCAAAUUCUCGCACUUCACCUCCAACCAGGCGAUCUUCCAGGCGCUGGACGGCGAGGAGCGGGUGCACAUAAUCGACCUCGACAUCAUGCAGGGCCUGCAGUGGCCCGGGCUCUUCCAGAUCCUGGCGUCGCGGCCUCUGAAGCUCCGGUCGCUCCGCAUCACCGGGCUCGGGUCCUCCCUCGAGCUGCUCGAGGCGACCGGCCGCCGGCUCUCCGACUUCGCCGCGGCGCUGGGGCUGCCGUUCGAGUUCCAGCCGGUCGAGGGGAAGAUCGGGGACCAGAGCAAGGCGGGCGGCGGCGGCGGCGCGUUCGCGCCGCGGGACGGGCGGGAGGUGGCCGUCGUGCACUGGAUGCACCACUGCCUGUACGACGUGACGGGGUCGGACGAGGCGGCGGUGUCGGUGAUCAAGAACGUGAUCCGGCCGCGGCUGGUGACGGUGGUGGAGCAGGACCUGGGGCGGCACGGGGGGGACUUCCUGGGCAGGUUCGUGGAGGCGCUGCAUUACUACUCGGCGGUGUUCGACGCGCUCGGGGAGGGGGCGGCGGCGGAGGGGAGUCGGGAGGAGGAGGAGGCCGAGCGGCACGACGUGGAGCGGCAGCUGCUGGGGGCGGAGAUCCGGAACAUCGUGGCGGUCGGGGGGCCGAAGCGGACGGGGGAGGUGGCGGUCGGGCGGUGGGGGGAGGAGAUGCGGAGGGCGGGUUUCGAGCAGGUGUCGCUGGCGGGAGGGCCCGCGGCCGCGCAGGCCAACCUCUUGCUCGGAAUGCGGCUGCCGUGGAAGGGGUACACUCUGGUGGAGGAGGCCGGCUGCCUCAAGCUCGGCUGGAAGGACCUCUCCUUGCUGACGGCAUCAGCUUGGAAGACUGGAAACAGCCACGGCCCCGCAGAAGGCGGAGAAGACCGAGACCACGUUCAACCGCCGCCGCAGCAGCAGCAGCAUCAUCAUCACUCAUCUCUCUUGACAUAAUCACUUUGUUUUUAUUCUUGCCCUCUGUUUUUUUUUUUUUUUUUUUUAAAUAUCUGUACCCAACCGAAGAGUUAGUACGAGAAUUGCAUCUUCAAACCGUUAGAAUUUCGUCCAAGAAUUAGUAUAAUAACACGAUCUGCUACGUUAUUCGGAAGGAAUAUUAUAGCUGAUGAUGAGUCGCCGAGGCAUUCGAUCUUCAGAAUGCAUAGACGCUAGGACGUGAAUAAAUCCUUUUAAUUGUGAGAAUUCGAAUAUCCGAAUAGUCCUUUCACAUAAAACAAACGUUUUAACUAGUGCUUGUUAAUCAUUUACCAUAAUUGAAAUGAUAAAACCAAUAAUAAUAAUAUGAGAAAUGAUUCAGUACUUUAUUAUUAAAAAAAUAAAAUAGAUCUUAACUAUUAAUUAAUAGAGAGUAAAGAUGUAAUUUUAACAUUUAGUAUGUAAAAAGGUUACAUUAUACGAGGGUAUUUUGGUAAUUAAACUAUGCAACAUUUAAAAUAUCCUAAAUUUAUGCAUUCAUUUACACUAAUUUGAAAAAUUGAUUGAUUACCCUAAUUUAGGCAUUAAUUAGACAUUAAUUUAACCGACCGUCUCAAGAGCAAGUGGUAAAGGACUUGGUGGUUGGUACCUGAGACCCAAGUUCGAAUCCUAGUUGAUUCACAUUUCCAGCUAAGUUUAUUUCUAAAUAAAAUAAACGAAACGGGUAGCAUGCUACCUAUCUCUCAAAAAAAUUAGACAUUAUCAGCCGUGAGAUUUCAGCAUCUGAAGCUUGUUGACACAUUUGGAGAGUGUCGGGACAAGUCGGAAUUGUUUUGGCGUGAAAUAGACGCAAAACAGACUCAGUGCGACGCGAGAGUAGAGUUUUAACAUUGGAAUCUGCAAAGUGCAGGUUUUCAGUGUUGAGUACCGGUACCCCAGUGUAUUUUUCAAACAGACUGCUCUCGGGUUGCGCCAAUUUGAUGCUGAGUACCGGUACGGCAUCGGGCUGGUACCGGUACCCUGUGUGCGAACUUGCGGGUUGAGAGGCCAUUUGAGUUGGUAGAGGAUAUUGUAGUCUUUAUUGAGUUGGUGAGGGGCAAAAUGGUCUUUUUAGUUGUUGAUAAGCUUGCCACCUACUCUCUCGUUUCAACAUGGUCUGAGUAUAAUUAUCCUUACUCUCUCUCUCUCUAGUUAAUGGUGUACUUGGUUGAGGCCUCGGGUGGAGUGCGGAUCGACGUUGACUUCGCGCCGGUAAGCCGUUCGAGCGUGGGCGUCGAGGUUGCGCCGUUGGAGGCCGAGCAAGGGCGUGUUUUCCUCUCUUUUCGAUUUCUCGUCGUAGUUGGAUGUGCGUUUCGAGGUGGGUUGAAGUUUACCGAAAUCGUCGAAAUAUUUUCUAAGUUUUAGUAUUUGUCGAUAUGUAUCAUCCGUCUAUUUUUAUUGCUAGUACUCAAAUUUAUGUAUUAGUGUUUAAAUCUGAAUUUGGAGUUAAGCUAGUAGUUUAAUUUUACAUGUUGGAUUUGGAAUUGACUUAGGAGAAAACAUAUAGAUCCUACACUGUCACUUUUUGAAAAAUUACCAGAUUUAGCUUCUGAAGCUGUUGCGCCUUGUAUCCGCGCUGUUAGUGCGCAUUUGAUACUCAGAUAGCUUCUGAAGCUGUUGCGCUUUGUAUCCACGCUAUUAGUGCGCAUUUGAUACUCGGAUAGUGUUACACCUGUCAAGUGGUAAAGGAGGAUUAGGAGUAGUAGUAGGGAGGUUUAGCUAGAAUAAUAAGAGGGGAGAGGAGGCUUAGCUUUUUCUCUGCUUCAAGUCUCAGGUUGGGGAAGCAUCGGUCGUCGGCAAGGGAGCGUGGAGAUUAGCGGCAGUGUGAGGGGCGCCGGUGGAGGAGAAAGGGGCGAUGGAAGCGGGGAAGAGAAUAGGGCGAUCCGAGCGAUCCGACAAGGGACUUAGAGCAGUCGACAAGGCGACCCAAGAUUUAGACAAUUCUGGUGGAUUCGGGCGUCUGGCGGAUUCGGGCGCAAGGAGGGGGGGACUGAUCCAAUGUGCCUUGGGAGAAGGCCGGGGAAGAGGCCCAUGUGAGAAUUUGGGCAGCAGAUAGUAGGCUUAGGGAGUCCAAUUAGAAUUAGGGUUUUGCUUUUAGUGUGUGAAUAAAAAGGGCAGCGUGUAACUCAAGAUAGUUUUAUGUGAAAUUAAUGAAAUUUUCUUCUUCCUCAUCAUCUCCCAAUUUGUCACGCCCCGGGCCCAAUUUUAAAAGCCUUUUUAAAACAGAGUUGCGGAAAACGUGCCAUUUUUUUUUUUCUUCUUUUUUUUUUUCAACCUGGCCCACGUGACGUACAGACCCGCCACAAAUACAAAGUUCCUCUGUCCACUCGGACAGAGUCUCCUUUGUAUUUGCACGGCGUACCAACGAUACAACAGGAUCUCAACCACAACCUACAUUUACCAAUCAACAACCAAGGCAUGAUAUGCAUUUCCAUACAGCUAACAAUCCUUAGAAUGAUGCAUGCCUCUAAGCACUCCUUAGGCGCUGGAUGAUGCAAUGCACAAUACAACAAACAUCCUAUUUAAAAGUGCUCCCCACACGGAAGCUUUUGUUUUUAAACUCUAAUUCAAUCAUUCAUAAAAACCAUUCGAAAACCUUUUUAAAACUGUUUCCCACACGGAAACUCUAUUUUGAAAACCGACUACCUCGAGGGGUAGAAAACCACGAUGCAUAACUACAAGAAAACCAAAUCUCCACAGAACCAAAACCACAGAUCGAAAACUCCAAUCUCAUGUAUAAAAGAAACCAACACCACAGUUCACAUACAUUCAAGCAUACAUAAGAUCAGCUAACUGAACCAUUAUUAAGAAAACUACUAAGUGCGGGAAAGAAAUAACCAGGGUGACGGUCGCUACUGCCGUCUAGCUAGAUCGUCCUCUCGUCGAGCCCAAAAUCCAACUCCUCGUCUCUGUCACCUGGGGGGGAAAAGGGGGGUGAGAAACCGCAACCAUGGUUUUCUCAGUGGGUACGACAGAGCCACGAAGGCAAGUCGUAAUCACCGGAAACCAAAGGAGAUAGAUAAACAAGUAUAUAUCUGUAAGCUGAUAUGAAAUAGAACUACAGUAGCUACAACAGAUAAAUAGGAAGCAAUAAAUAAACCUGCUACUGUAUAGAAAACAAUGCAAAGAAUGCCUCAAUGUACUGAACCAGAAACUGUACCCAAUCUGUGCCUGCUGUAUCGGUCCGCAGACCUCAAGCGCUACCUGUCACUAACUGCACCGACCUGAUCCAUCCGCCCCGCAGGACGACCUAUCCGGAUAAGUACACCUCCGAUCGGUGGCCAAACCGAUCCGGUGUCAUGAAUACCCCCAAGUGCCGUGACUAAGUCAUGCUGAUAUGCUCAAAUAAAAACAAACCCGGCUAAAGCCGGUGCCUAGGCCGAAGCCAACAACGAGGGCAUACAAUGCCAAACUGAAAUAGAAGCUAGGGCGUACAACGCCGAACUGAAAUAGAUGCUAGGGCGUACAACGCCGAACCUCGAUCAACCAGAUCGAAACACACGACAAGAGAGUCGAUGUGUUGCCUGGACCCAAGGUCCACAGAGAUACUGAAAUACAAAUGCAACCUGCUCUACAUGUCUAUCAACUACUAACCAAAUGCAAUCAAAGAGGUACGAUAUACGAAAGAUAAGCAAACAAUGACAUGUAGAGACUAAAAUACGGGAAUAGAAAAACAGGAGAAGGAGGUGAAACGCUCUCACCGACUACCAGCUCGAAGCACCCACCUGUCACUGUCGCGUCGGAACACUGGGUACGCACAAGUCUACCGGACCUAAGAAGAUCCACCAAGUCAGUAUCCAAACCACUAACCCAAAGCACGAGACUCACAAACCCCCACACAGGAUCCCCGUAAUCGGUUUCCCAAAACCGAUUACCGUAACUCACCGGAAGUCCCGAAAAGCACACCGGGACGCCGUCGGGACCCACUAAGUGUCCCGAACUCACCGACUCAUACCACGAGUCACCCGCUGCCCCAAAACAUUCCAAUUUGGAUGCCUUGGCAGCGAACACAAGGUCACACAACAAUACGAUCAUCGCCGGAUAAUCGUACGGAUCCGGGUUCCCGGAAGUGUCUAUUUCGACACCGGAACCCGCCGUCGCUCACCUAUCGUCAUCGAACCCACAAAAUGACGAUGGUGACCAGCCAACAAGGCUCAGCGAUAAAACACGAAGCAACCAAACACCGUCGAAAAGAAUCCGGACCGAAACCGCGUUCUUUCAGCGAAUUUCGCCGAAAAACGCACCGAAAUCGACCUACCGAUUUCCGCGGAAGCUAACGGACCAUGGACAAUCAGUCCAGCGGUCAAUACAAACUCUUACACGCUGCCCACAGUAGCCACACAAUGCACAAUUGCAUAAAAGACCCUCUAAUUACAUACAAUAUCAUCAUUUUAUGUAAUUUGACCGAUCAAGCGGCUCGUUCACGCAAACCAAGGACUUUCAAAGUCCGCAGAGACACGUACUGACAGGUCUCGAUGUACCGGAGUCCGUGCUCACGAUCCGGAGCACAGCGGCUCACUGUGGGAAGCGCGGGAGCAACCCGAAGGUUCAGCGAAUAGCGCGCAGUCAGGGAAGAUCGCGCUGCACAGAACUAGCCGGACACUUUCUGAUCCAAAGUGAGGUGAGCACUGUGAUCAGCACUGACCAACGAUCACCGUGCUCACCUCCGGAGGCAUCAGGACAGCCUCGGAUCGCCGGAUAAGCGUACGCAAACUCAAAACAGCAGCCAAAAAGGCUGAAACGGAGCGACAUCGCCGAAACAGCGGAACGGAGUCUCCCCGACAGAAACCAAGGUGAGCACGAUGAUCAGCAACUUGCCAGGAUCAUUGUGCUCCCUUCCGUACAGAUCGGGGAAGCUCGGUAAGCUCGGAACAUAAAUCCAUCACAAUAAGCCCUAUUUCGAGCUUGGCCGGAGCAACCUUGCUCCGGCCGGCCUCCGGCGGCACGGCGGCGUGCGCGGCGGCCAGGGACGGGUACGGGGGAGGUGAGGAGUACCGAGCUCACCUCAGGUGGCGGCUGGAAGCGGCGGCGGCGUCGGCGGAGCAACCCGAGCCCGCAAGAAAGAAGCUCGGGCUCGGCGGGUUUCUCCGGCCACGGCGGCGGCCGGGAAAGGUCGGGGACGUCGGCGGCGGGUCCCCAGAGGCUAGAAGGGGAGGAAGGAGGCAGCCUCGGGCGGCGGCGGCGGGGAAGAGUGGCCGCACACAGCCCUCGGCCUGGGCUCGGCUGGGCGGCUGCAGCCGGCCGAGGCGGCGGCGGCGGCGCGCUGGGGUGGCGGCGACCGACGGGAAAGGGUGCCGGGGCACGGGGGAUGUCGGCGGGAGAGAUCUCGGGCGGUGGCGGCGCGCGGGCAGCGGCUGCAACCCAGCUCGGCCUGGGCUGCUACCCAGCUCGGCCUGGGCUGCUGCAGGCGGCUGGAGCGGCUGCGGCGGCGCAGGCGACGGCGGCGGUCGGCGGGGAUGAUCGCCGGAGCACGGGGUGACACCGAGGGAGGGUCUGCAGGAGGCGCAGUCCCGGGCCUUCACUCAACCCGAGAGGAGAGAGGGAGAGAGAAAAAGAGGGAGAGAGAGAGAAGUGGUGGCUGCGGCGGCGGUUGGCCGGCCGGGGCUCAGUCGGCGGCGGCCCGGGCGCGCGCAGCAGGUGCAGGGGAAGGAGAGGGAGGCGGCUGGGUGGUGCGGCUAGGGCUAGGUUAGGGUUACAAGGCUCCAAACCCUAGAGAGCUAUAAUAAAUACUAAGGUGAAAAAUGCAAAAAGGUCCCCCAAACAUCAGAAUUUCAAUCCGAGUCCCUCACAGCGUGUGUAAAACACGCGAACACCCCUCUACGUGCGAUCCCACGCGAAACGGUACAUAAAAUAUCGCGACUUUUGCGAAAAUACCGUUUUGCCACUACCGACCUCUCCUCGAUCAACGCGCGAUCUCCGCAGAUCCGUCCGUCAGAUUUGCGAACGGAUUGCACCAGUGCGAUCAGCACGACGGAGACAACAAAGCUACGAUUUCGUUUCGUCUUGAUCGACCACGGAUUCACGACAAAAUCCAACCUUCUUCGAAUAGAAGAAAACACACACAUAAAUACAUAUAAAACAUGUAUUUUUGGAUUUUCUCGAAAUCCGUGCGUCGAACUCAAAAUCCGUCAGCGUCAUUAGCUCCAGAACAGCUGACCCGGUCGAAACGAGCUAUUGGACUGCUAUGAACAGAGUCCGGUACGAGCCAGAAGCCAACUUCUCACCGUGGCUUCUCCGGAAAAUCGAGUUACUAUUCACUUUAAGUGAAACUUGGAAAUCGCGUAGAAUUUCCGUUUUAACUCGAUUUCCCCCGAAACUUGACGAGUGCUUUUGUAAUUAAAUUACACACAAAAACAUCGUCAACCGAGAGUUUAGCUACACUGUAAAAAUCUCAGUCCUUACACAAUUUCUCUUAAUCUCUCUUCUUCUUAAUCCCCCACUCAUCUUAUUCCCUCUAUUCCCUCCUUUCUAUUCUUUCUUCAUCUUCUUUAUCAGAAUAUCUCAAUUCUGAUCUAAUUAAUCCGAGUCAGGCAGUUACGUGAACCAUCAUCCUCGAUGCCGUCCAUCAUCUCAGCGAGAUCUCAUCAUCGACGGGUUGCGCCGAGUCAGGUACGUAACAGAUAGCUUCUGAAGCUGUUGCGCUUUGUAUCCACGCUGUUAGUGCGCAUUUGAUACUCGGAUAGCUUUAGGCGUUGUGGGUCAUUUGUAUCGCAGCUGUUUGUAUGCGAUGGAUACCCAGAUUAGUGUAGGAUGAGUUUACGCUCGUGCUGGAAUGCCGAGCUUAUUUUACAGUAGUGUGUAGACUGUUUCGAACUGUCGGGUGCCGUCGCGGUUGACGGUGGAAUCAGAUUGCUGUUUUUGCAUCAGAUUGUGCCAAGAGCACGUGAGCUUUGGUUGUUAGACCAGUUAGACCCAUUUGCUUUGAUUAUAGCCUGUGAGAGCCUGAUUGAGCCCGACAGAGACACGAUUGUAUACUUGGUUCGGUAGCGCCCACAAGUGCCACUCCGGAGUCGGGCUUUGUGCGUUUGCGUAGAUGUCGUAGUGUCCAGUGUGGAUUUGCUCUUCACCAAUUACCCAACGUGGUGGUGGUUGGUAUAGCUUCAGCAGGCGAGACGGGUGCGUUCACACUCCCUAGUGAGAUUGGGUCAGAGAUUGCAUCUUGCUUAUAUCUACAUAUAGGUAGUGUUGGUUAGCGAUAGUAUAGUGGUAUGUAGCUGUAAAGUUUUUUCAGCUUCUUUUACUAUCCUUGAGUAUACUUUUUGUAGACUUAGUGGGUGAAUCGUCGAGGUCGGUAGCGGUAUCCACUGAGAACUACUUCUUUUUGCAGUAGUUCUCAUACCCAGUUGUUGAUCCCUUUUUGUAGAGCCUUCGUCAGCGGUUGCUGUUGUUGCUGAUUUGGAUCGUAGAAAGGGAGUCGCGAACAAAAUCCCUUCCAGUCUUGUUACUGUUCUAGAGGAGUACCAGCUGCACGUAGUUUUGAUUUUUGGUUCAUAUACAUACUGAUAUUAGAUACUCGUUUGAACAAGUGAUGUCUGUAUCUUGGAGACUAUGCAUGUAUAAUGAACCUGAUGUUUAUCUAUAUGUAUUUACAGUUCUAUUAGCAGCUCUAUACUACUAGUUGUAGUUUUGUAUGAUGACAUGUACAAGUACAACUAUCGCUUCGUAUACAGAGGAAAUUCUUUUGUAUACGACGGGUCUGUUGGCGUGCCCGGAGAAACAUGGUAAUCUGCGGCGUGACAGAAAUUUUGUAUUACUAUUUAAAAAAUUUGUAAUGCUGAUAAAUAUUUUAAUUUAACAUACUUAAUAUGUUUAAGAAAUUUUUAAAUUCCUAUAGUUUAGACAUUAAUUUUGUAUCACUUAUUUAAAAAAAUUUGAAUGUAGGUAAAAAAGUUAUAAAUUAAAUGUAUUUAAUAUGUUAAAAAAAAACUUAGGAUUGUUCUACUUAGACAUUAAUUUUGUAUCAUUAUUUAAAAAAAAUUUGUAAUGUUGGUAAAUAUUUAAAUUUAACAUAUUUUAUAUGUUUAACAAAAUUAUGAAUUCAUCUUAGACAUUAAUUUUAUAUUACUAAUUUUAAAAAAUUGAACGUGGUCAAAUAUUUAAAUUCAACAUAUUUAAUAUGUUUAAAAAAAUUUAAGAAUUUUUCUAAUUUAGAUAUUAAUUCUUUAUCACUAUUUAAAAAAUUUAAUGUGGAUAAUUGAUUAGAAAUAUAGGGUAUAAUUCAAAUUUAUUCUUAGAAUAGAAUUGUAUGGAUAAAAUUAAUUCAAAUUUUAAUAGUAAAAAUUGAUCUUUUAAAAUAAUAAGAUCAUAUAUUGUAAUUUAAAAUAUAAGCUGAAAACAAAUAAAAUUUGAAGUUUAGAACCUAAAAAGUAAAUAGAAACCUCCAAUAAAUUUAAAUAGUGUAGUGCAAUUUAAAUUUACCAAUAAAUAGAUUUAGGCUAUAUAAUUUAAAUUUUAAACUUAUAACAAAUCUCUAGAAUUUUACUAGAGUAAACAAAAUUAGAAAUGUAGAUAAAUUAAAUAAAUUUAUAUUGAACAAAUCUAGGCUAUUUGUAUAUUUUAUUAAUUUGAUCAGUCCAAUUAAUUUGAUUUCUUAAAUUGAUUUUGACUUUUAUCUUUAAAUUUUUUUAAUUUUUAGUUGAUUUUUAAAAUUUUAGUUUGUUACCUUUUGGUUUACGAUUAGCUUCUUAACUUUUAUUAUUCAUUUUAAUUAAAUUAGUAUCAAUGAUUUAAAACCAGAUUAAAACGAUUGAUUUGACUGAUCAUACUUUAAACUAUUCUAUGAAAUAUCCGAUUUCAAUCUAUUAAGCUGAAUAAGAUUAAGAACAAUCUGGAACCGUUAAAGAUAAUAAACAUUUCAAACAGAAUGGUAUUUUAACAGUUAGAGCUAAUAAAUAUUUUAAACAUAAUUUUAAAUAUAAAAAUUAAAAAUAUUAGGAUUCCUGUUUAGAAAAAAAAGGUUAGAAAUUUGAAUUCGAACCCGACUAACAAUUGCAAAACUUAUUUAUGAUCUUGACGGAUUUCAAAAACUCAUAUCUAAAUCCGAAACUGACCAAUUUUCCGAAAUCCAAAACCGAACCCAAACCCGAAGACCAGAACCCGAAACAAUUAUUUCUUUUUACCAUACUUCAAAAUAUUUUAUAUUAAAUUUAAAUUUUUAAAAUAUAAAUUCAAAUAUAAUAUUAAACUUUAUAUAUGAUU
rnacentral:lncRNA from 1 species